UACAGAUGUGAAUCUUGUCAUGGUCAGGCUGAAAGGCUUCUUGACUCUACAAAAGAAAUGGAAGACUCAAUUGCUGUGAAUUUAAGGUACUUCCUGUGAUGAUUGAUGUUGGAACUAAUACUGAGAAGCUGCUAAAAGACCCAUUGUAUUUGGGUCUUCAAGAACAUCGUCUUGAUGGUGAUGAGUAUGUUGCUGUCAUCGAUGAAUUCAUGAAUGCAGUUUUUACUCGUUGGCCAAAUGUGAUUGUGCAGUUUUUACUCGUUGGAUGUGCAUUGU